rnacentral:rRNA from 1 species
UGGAAAGAUGAAUCAAAGAAGGUAAUAAUCCUGUAGUCGAAAAUGUUGUCUCUCUUGAGUGGAUCCUGAGUACGACGGAGCACGUGAAAUUCCGUCGGAAUCUGGGAGGACCAUCUCCUAAGGCUAAAUACUCUCUAGUGACCGAUAGUGAACCAGUACCGUGAGGGAAAGGUGAAAAGCACCCCGGAAGGGGAGUGAAAUAGAACCUGAAACCGUGUGCUUACAAGUAGUCAGAGCCCGUUAAUGGGUGAUGGCGUGCCUUUUGUAGAAUGAACCGGCGAGUUACGAUUUGAUGCAAGGUUAAGCAGUAAAUGUGGAGCCGUAGCGAAAGCGAGUCUGAAUAGGGCGUUUAGUAUUUGGUCGUAGACCCGAAACCAGGUGAUCUACCCUUGGUCAGGUUGAAGUUCAGGUAACACUGAAUGGAGGACCGAACCGACUUACGUUGAAAAGUGAGCGGAUGAACUGAGGGUAGCGGAGAAAUUCCAAUCGAACCUGGAGAUAGCUGGUUCUCUCCGAAAUAGCUUUAGGGCUAGCCUCAAGUGAUGAUUAUUGGAGGUAGAGCACUGUUUGGACGAGGGGCCCCUCUCGGGUUACCGAAUUCAGACAAACUCCGAAUGCCAAUUAAUUUAACUUGGGAGUCAGAACAUGGGUGAUAAGGUCCGUGUUCGAAAGGGAAACAGCCCAGACCACCAGCUAAGGUCCCAAAAUAUAUGUUAAGUGGAAAAGGAUGUGGCGUUGCCCAGACAACUAGGAUGUUGGCUUAGAAGCAGCCAUCAUUUAAAGAGUGCGUAAUAGCUCACUAGUCGAGUGACACUGCGCCGAAAAUGUACCGGGGCUAAACAUAUUACCGAAGCUGUGGAUUGUCCUUUGGACAAUGGUAGGAGAGCGUUCUAAGGGCGUUGAAGCAUGAUCGUAAGGACAUGUGGAGCGCUUAGAAGUGAGAAUGCCGGUGUGAGUAGCGAAAGACGGGUGAGAAUCCCGUCCACCGAUUGAC